rnacentral:snoRNA from 1 species
GCUUAGUGAUGAGAAUCAUCAUUUCUUAAAUUGGAUGACACUUUCCAUUCCUGCAAAGAGAGCCUGGGGUC